AGGAGAUUUGGUGAUGCAGUCAUGCAUUUUUGCUGUGUACAGUACUGUACUACAUCCUUCUUCGGACUUUCUCUCACUCCAGUAACAUUGUUUUGGUUGAAAUGGCGCCCAGGCAGAAAUUUUGCCAAGACUGGUUGCUGAAACUAUCACCCCAUAUAACUUUCCACCAGCUAUGAGAAGUGAAGAACAAGGGACAGACUGAUGACAGAGGCUACAUCACCACCACCACCACCACCAGAUGACUGAGGCUACAUCACCACCAACACCAGAUGACUGAGGCUACA